UGAGGAAUAUUGGUCAAUGGACGCAAGUCUGAACCAGCCAUGCCGCGUGCAGGAAGACGGCUCUACGAGUUGUAAACUGCUUUUACACGGGAAUAAUUGCAGAUACGUGUAUCUGUUUGAAUGUACCGUAUGAAUAAGCACCGGCUAACUCCGUGCCAGCAGCCGCGGUAAUACGGAGGGUGCAAGCGUUAUCCGGAUUUAUUGGGUUUAAAGGGUGCGUAGGCGGAGAUAUAAGUCAGUGGUGAAAUCUUGCAGCUUAACUGUAAAAUUGCCAUUGAUACUGUGUUUCUUGAGUACAGUUGAGGUAGGCGGAAUGUGUAAUGUAGCGGUGAAAUGCUUAGAUAUUACACAGAACACCGAUUGCGUAGGCAGCUUACUAAACUGUAACUGACGCUGAGGCACGAAAGCGUGGGGAGCGAACA
rnacentral:rRNA from 1 species